rnacentral:rRNA from 1 species
CCUACGGGAGGCAGCAGUGAGGAAUAUUGGUCAAUGGGCGCGAGCCUGAACCAGCCAAGUAGCGUGAAGGAUGACUGCCCUACGGGUUGUCAACUUCUUUUUUAAAGGAAUACAGAGAGGCACGUGUGCAUUCUCGUCUUUACUUUAUGAAUAAGGAUCGGCUAACUCCGCGCCAGCAGCCGCGGUAAUACGGAGGAUCCGAGCGUUACACGGAUUUAUUGGGUUUAAAGGGAGCGUAGAUGGGUUGUUAAGUCAGUUGUGAAAGUGAGCGGCUCAACCGUAGAAUUGCAAUUGAUACUGGCAGCCUUGAGUACAGAUGAGGUAGGCGGAAUUCGUGGUGUAGCGGUGAAAUGCGUAGAGAUCACGAAGAACUCCGGUUGCGAAGGCAGCCUACUAAACUGCCACUGACAUUGAUGCUCGAAAGUGUGGGUAUCAAACAGGAUUAGAUACCCUUGUAGUC